AACGAACGCUGGCGGCAUGCUUAACACAUGCAAGUCGAACGCCUGUAGCAAUACAGGAGUGGCAGACGGGUGGGUAACGCGUGGGAACGUACCCCAAGGUUCGGAAUAACGAUUGGAAACGAUCGCUAAUACCGGAUAAGCGCGAAAGUGGAAAGGUUUACUGCCUUGGGAGCGGCCCGCGUUAGAUUAGGUAGUUGGUGGGGUAAAGGCCUACCAAGCCUACGAUCUAUAUCUGGUCUGAGAGGAUGAUCAGCCACACUGGGACUGAGACACGGCCCAGACUCUUACGGGAGGCAGCAGUGGGGAAUAUUGGACAAUGGGGGCAACCCUGAUCCAGCAAUGCCGCGUGAGUGAAGAAGGCCUGCGGGUUGUAAAGCUCUUUUAACUACGACGAUAAUGACGGUAGUAGGGGAAUAAGCCCCGGCUAACUUCGUG
rnacentral:rRNA from 1 species